AGGACGUCGAUUAGAGGAGGCAGAGUAGCUCGCGGGGCAGCGUCGUCGACCAGUGGUGUCGCUCGUGCCAAUGCCGUGAGCAAUGCCACAGGAGGGGCGACAACCACUGUGACGAGUGGAGACGGAUCGCAUGGUGCAGUGACGACCACCAAUCAUGAGCUUGUUGGGGUGACGAAGGAGCAAGUCCAGCAAAUAGUUGACAUCUUGUCACGACCUUCAACCAAGUUGCAAGGACCGCUCGACGAGGAUGGUGAUUGGCGUAGGUGAUCGACAGGAAGGACUAUAUUUUUUCCGUGGGGCUCCAAAGGUUCGUGUGCUAGCAGUGGAGUGUGUGGUCGACUUGUGGCAUCAACGGAUGGGGCAUCCGUCGGAAAAAGUGUUGCAGUUACUUCCUCAUGUGAGUCAUAAGAUUAGGAAGAAUAAAACAAUUUGUGAUGUAUGUCCGCGGGCGAGACAAUGUAGGGAGAGUUUUCCAGUUAGUGUUAGUCGUGCUAGUCGCACAUUUGAAUUGGUUCAUCUUGAUUUAUGGGGACCCUACAAGACUCCCUCGUCUUGUGGGGCAAAGUAUUUUUUUACCAUUGUUGACGAUUAUUCUAGAGGUGUGUGGAUUUAUUUACUGAAUAAUAAAAUGGAAGUUGCAUCGACA